AUUGAACGCUGGCGGCAUGCUUUACACAUGCAAGUCGAACGGUAACAGGUUAAGCUGACGAGUGGCGAACGGGUGAGUAAUGCAUCGGAACGUGCCCGAUCGUGGGGGAUAACGCAGCGAAAGCUGCGCUAAUACCGCAUACGAUCUGAGGAUGAAAGCGGGGGACCGUAAGGCCUCGCGCGAUCGGAGCGGCCGAUGUCAGAUUAGGUAGUUGGUGGGGUAAAGGCCCACCAAGCCGACGAUCUGUAGCUGGUCUGAGAGGACGACCAGCCACACUGGGACUGAGACACGGCCCAGACUCCUACGGGAGGCAGCAGUGGGGAAUUUUGGACAAUGGGCGAAAGCCUGAUCCAGCAAUGCCGCGUGCAGGAAGAAGGCCUUCGGGUUGUAAACUGCUUUUGUACGGAGCGAAAAGGUCCUUUCUAAUACAAGGGGCUCAUGACGGUACCGUAAGAAUAAGCACCGGCUAACUACGUGCCAGCCGCCGCGGUAAAAC
rnacentral:rRNA from 1 species